rnacentral:rRNA from 1 species
UGUAGUCAUAUGCUUGUCUCAAAGAUUAAGCCAUGCAUGUCUAAGUAUAAACAACUUUAUACUGUGAAACUGCGAAUGGCUCAUUAAAUCAGUUAUAGUUUAUUUGAUAGUACUUACUACUUGGAUAACCGUGGUAAUUCUAGAGCUAAUACAUGCGAAAAGACCCGACUUCUGGAAGGGUUGUAUUUAUUAGAUAAAAAACCAAUCGGGGCAACCCGUUUGUGGUGAUUCAUAAUAACUUUGCGAAUCGCAUGGCCUUGUGCCGGCGAUGAAUCAUUCAAAUUUCUGCCCUAUCAACUUUCGAUGGUAAGGUAUUGGCUUACCAUGGUUGCAACGGGUAACGGGGAAU